UUUCAAUCAAUGAUCUGAAGUCAAGUGGGAUUACCCGCUGAACUUAAGCAUAUCAAUAAGCGGAGGA
rnacentral:rRNA from 1 species